GAUGAGGUCUCAACUCUAGAAGAAUGAUUACCCACCUCUGUUUUUAUGAUACCUCAGGGCAUCUCCAGUUAUUCGGGCACCAAUGUGAUAUUUCCAAAUCAAAACUAAUUUGUACACUGACAUCUUAAUGUGUGUGUGAAGGCAUGUUUUUACUUUUUUUUUUCUCCACGGACUCUUUUUUUUCUCUAGGACUCUUGUUUUUUCUUUUGUCUUUUUUUAAACAGGUUCUCUCUCUGUUGCCCCAGGCUGGUCUUGAACUCCUGGGCUCAAGCAAUCUUCUCUUUUCAGCCUCUCUGGGAUUACAGGCAUACACUGCUAUCUUGUCUUUUUUUUUUUUUUGAACAAAUAAUGUGCCCUACCUUCAAAAAGUUUGAUGACUACUAAUUUAAUAUACCACAUGGUAGAAUUUUCCGUUGUUUUUUGACUUUUUCCAUUGUCCUCUUUUCCCCAAGUGAAGAUCCCAACAGAUUGUGCUGGGUGGGGGUUGGCAAUGGGGUCAGAUAGUAAAGGGUCAGAAUUUCUAAGCAGGCACUGUGAAGGUGUCCCACUAUUAUACAGCAAUCUCUUGAGUCAAAUGUCAACUCUCCUUUUCUCUUUGUGCUGCCUCCCUCACACCCUCAUCCCUGCAGUUGGGUCAGAAAGUGGUAGAUCUGAUGUUCUGUGCCAGGGUUUCUUAAAGGAAAAAGCUCAAUUUUUGGACAAAGUUAAAAAAAGGAUGAUGCCAACGUACUCUCAGUCAAGGGCUGCCAGCAGGCAGAGAAAUGCCUUUCUGGAAUGACGUGGAUGUAGGGAUUAAGAGGACCAGAGGAGAGGCCUUUGCUUUACUUGCCACCAACAACUAAAUUAAGCUCUUGAAUCUUGGUCAGUGCUGGCUCACUUCACGUGUGCAUUUCUCAGCACAUAUACGAAAUGAGCCAGCACAGACAGGAUCCCUUUGGGGCAGAAAUAUUUAGUGUCUUUGUAUGGUCUCUGUGGGGAAGGCUGAUAGUGCCUUUCUCCAUCAUGAAAGUGCAUUUCUCCAUCAUGAAGGUGUAGAUAUGAGCGGUAGUACUGUGGUUGCUGGCGGUGUGUGCACCCAGAGAAUGUGUGUGGUGCACACUCCUGGCAUUUGCAUUCUUCUGUGUGUGGGGUAUGCACCCUUGCAUUCUUUUACACACACUCUUUCUUACAUGUGCUCUUGGGAGUGGGGUGGGUGAAGCAGGAUUCAUUUUUGUUUUUAAUUACUGAAGUCCUACACUCCUCCAAAAGGAGCAGCUUAGUGGAAACCAAUAAAAAUUGAAGCGGGGUGGUUGCCAAAACCCCAGCUCCCCGGAGAGCGCAGGUGGAAAGAAGAGAUCAGAGCCCCAGGCAAAGGCAGCAAGACUCCACAGUUCCUCCAAAACUCCCCGCAAAAAGGGAUCCUUCCCCCAUCCCUCCAGCCCCCCAGGUCGCUGCCCCUUUGAUUAAUGGUAUGGAGCUCAAAUAAAUCAUUUAGGGAAGCCCAUUAUGGAGUCCCCUCAGGCAUCCUCAUUUUGUUUUGUCCAAUUUCUAGCAACUUUCUGAAAUGUCGAUGUCAUUGAAAAGGAACCAGUGGAUCUCCAGCACUUGAACAAAUUAUCCUCGGGCCAGUACCGAGCCCUGUGGCUGUCCAGUUUCUAGCAACCAACCCUUCCCUCCAUCCUCCCGUCUCCUACUGGCUUAUUUUCAGGAAUGGAUAAUGUUGUUUAUUUGUUCAGCCAAAUAUUUGGUCUGGGGAAUUUACCAUGAAAUUCUGUGAAUUGCAUAUACCUAGUUAACAAAAUAGUCCUAAUGCCACAAAUGUUAGCAUGGAAAACAAAGAGCUAUGGCCAGCGUUAACUCUUUAAAUUCUGUUUGAAAGCUUAGUCCUAAGGCUCGGGGAGAUUUAAAAAAAAAGGUGGGGGGAUGUGUGAAGAUUAUUUAAUUUAGGUUUUGGUAUUUAAUAUUUUUGCCUAAUAGUGCAGUACCUUAGGGAAGUCGUAAGGUGAUUCUCGGCGUUGCUUUUGGAUCAAGCCUACCAUUUCUCCCGCUUCAUGUUUUUUUUUCUUUCUCCAGAGUAAUGUUCCUAUUACUUAAAGAAAGAUGAGGAAGGAGGCUCGUCCUUGAGGAGUUCCGCAAAGUCGUAACCACAAACGAAGAGGUGCUUGGUCGAUCCCUACCCAACCCUUAAACUGGAACCAGCUUCCUAGGAGCUUAAGAUUAAAAAAAAAGAAAGAAAAGGAAAGAAAGAAAAAAGUGGGGGGUGGGGUGGGGAGGGACGCAUUAAACAUUCCCCUGCUUUCGUUGCAUAAUUCGCCCGGAACCUGCCAGGUGACCUGCUGACUUUGUUUUCUGUCUUGACCGUGCUUCGUUCCACCAACCCCCUCGCCGCCUGGCUGCGCCACACUGAGAGGGCUCCGCGCGGCCGCGGCGCUGGCAGACCCCAAUAGUCACCCGGCCUUGGACAGGCGUCAAGAUCCGGCCCCAGUGGCCCCGCCUCCCGCCCGCUCCGGCGCUCUCGGGCCGGGCGGCGGCGGGGGCACCAGGGGGCGUCUUCCCUGCGGGGGACCAGGGGACCGUGCUUGUGGCGGCGGCGCUCAGGAGCCGCGCUGCGGGAGUCCACCCCUCCCCAUCCCCGCGGACUGCGGACUACGGGUCCCACCGCCGGGACCCACAACCCGGCCCGCUCCUGCGCCCUCGGGGAGCCAGGGCUCAGGUGAAGCUCUUCAGAGAAAGACGUAUCUCAUUAUCGCUCUCGGGUCCUCGGGGCGGUCUCUCGGCAGAUUUCACGUGAAAUUGGGUCAAACGGCCGCGCAGAAGCGUGGAGUCUGCCGGGCAGGCUCCUCAUGGUGGAGGGGCUUAAGAGGGGCCGAGACCUUUAGGAGUUUUGUGUAGAGGGCGGAGAAUUAGCGGGAAUGAGGGAGUGAGGGUCUCCAGCCUCCGAGCUCACGGUGGGCCUAAAUACCCGGGUGGCUCAACGGGAGCGGGGACGUGGAAGAGUGCGAAACAGGCCCGCUGGGUGAGGGUCGGGCGUGCGACAGGCCCAGGAGGCUGAGCUGCUGUCUCGGGCCCCUUGGGGACGCGGAGAGCCCUGGGUCCUAGCUGAACUGCCGCCAGGCCCCCGCUCCCAACAGUCGGGGGAGGGAGGGGAAAGAGAGGCCACCGGUGUGCAAGAGUGGAGUUGGCCGACGGCUUUCAGAAAUGAGAUCCAAGCCCGUGAUGCAGAAUGACAGCGCCUCAGUUGACCUCCGCAGGGCCUCUGGCCCGGGGACUCACCGUGCCCGCCCUCACUCCCCCUCCAAAGAUGGAGUUUCGCUCUUCUUACCCAGGCUGGAGUGCAAUGGCACGAUCUUGGCUCACCGCAACCUCCGCCUCCUGGUUUCAAGUGAUUCUCCUGCCUCAGCCUCCCGAGUAGCUUGGACUACAGAGAGAGUCAAUGUCAUAAUAGUGUUUAGGAAUGAACACUCUGGAACCAGAUUACUUGGAUUUGAAUCCCUGUUGUACCAUGUGUCAGCUGUGGGGCACUGGGUAAGUUACUUAAUUU